UAGACGUUAGUCUAAACAAGACAGUUGAUUUCGACUCAACAGAUCUGGCUAAACACCGGACGCCUAC
rnacentral:tRNA from 1 species